UACGAAGGGGGCUAGCGUUGCUCGGAAUCACUGGGCGUAAAGGGUGCGUAGGCGGGUCUUUUAAGUCAGGGGUGAAAUCCUGGAGCUCAACUCCAGAACUGCCUUUGAUACUGAGGAUCUUGAGUCCGGGAGAGGUGAGUGGAACUGCGAGUGUAGAGGUGAAAUUCGUAGAUAUUCGCAAGAACACCAGUGGCGAAGGCGGCUCACUGGCCCGGUACUGACGCUGAGGCACGAAAGCGUGGGGAGCAAACAGG
rnacentral:rRNA from 1 species